rnacentral:lncRNA from 1 species
GCUUCUUCAGGAAUGUUCUGCUAAGUACAGUUCUGGAAUAAAGGCUGUUAGGAAAGAUGAGAAGCAGCUGUACUGAAGAAGUCCCGACAACGCAAAGAAAUGCAGUAAAAGAAGACUCAGUAUGACCUCAGUGUUCGAAUAUCGCAACUGUGGAAGUCUGGUCUUACAGAAACUAUAAAGCUAUGGGGAUUGACUAGAAGGUGAAAAGAGUCUUGCAAAUCAGUGGAGAGAUCCUCGUCUUGGAAAAUGUAGUCAGAUAAGUGGAACAAUUUAAAAAAAAUAUAAUUAAUUACAGUGAUUACAGUUGAUGGGAAUUGUAACCAGAGAUAAUGCUUUAGCUACCUUGGCUGUUGUGCAAGCAUAUAUAAAGUACAGCUAAAAGUAAAAAGAAACAUUGAAUACAAGAUGAUCUCUAUGUACAUGUAAAUAAAACACUAAGCAAAAUCAACUCUGAAACUGAGAUCAUCCACAUUGCCACUGCCCAGAUAACAAAUGUUCUGUCACAGCCUUCUUGCCUAAAAUCCCCAGACAGACUGGAAC